UACGGAGGGUGCGAGCGUUGUCCGGAAUCAUUGGGCGUAAAGGGCGCGUAGGUGGCUUCUUAAGCGAGCGGUGAAAGCCUGGGGCUCAACCCCGGGUCGGCCGUGCGAACUGGGGGGCUGGAGCACUGUAGAGGCAGGCGGAAUUCCGGGUGUAGCGGUGGAAUGCGUAGAGAUCCGGAAGAACACCGGUGGCGAAGGCGGCCUGCUGGGCAGUUGCUGACACUGAGGCGCGACAGCGUGGGGAGCAAACAGG
rnacentral:rRNA from 1 species